CGCCUUAUGCAUGCAAGUCGAGCGAAGCUUUUCAGUAGUUUACUACAGAAAAUGACUGAGCGGCGAACGGGUGAGUAACGCGUGAGCAAUCUACCUUAGUUACAGGGAUAGCCCGAGGAAACUCGGAUUAAUACCUGAUAUUCUUUACAUUUCGCAUGAAAUCAAAAGGAAAGGUCAGCCGAACUAAGAUGAGCUCGCGUUCUAUCAGCUAGUUGGUGAGGUAAAAGCUCACCAAGGCAACGACGGAUAGCUGGUCUGAGAGGACGAUCAGCCACACUGGGACUGAGACACGGCCCAGACUCCUACGGGAGGCUGCAGCAGGGAAUAUUGCGCAAUGAGCGAAAGCUUGACGCAGCGACACCGCGUGUGGGAUGACGGAUCUAGGUUUGUAAACCACUUUCAGGAGGGAAGAAAAUGACGGUACCUCCACAAGAAGCCCCGGCCAACUACGUGCCAGCAGCCGCGGUAAUACGUAGGGGGCGAGCGUUGUCCGGAUUUAUUGGGCGUAAAGAGCUCGUAGGCGGUUCAACAAGUCGGUCGUAAAGUUCAGGGCUCAANCCUGAAAUGUCGAUCGAUACUGUUGUGACU
rnacentral:rRNA from 1 species